rnacentral:lncRNA from 1 species
ACUAUUUCAAUUGUGAAUUCACAACCAACGCUGAUAAUUCAGUUGUGAAUUCAUAAACCUGGUUGUGAAUUCAAGAACAUUUGUACAAAAUUGCGCGGUUUUCAUCAAUUUCUUCGUUGCUUAUAUGUUUUUUCGAUUACGUUCAAUUGAAUUAGGGAGAAAUUUAUCCAAUCUGCAGAAAUUCAUUCCAAUCAUUCUCAUCGGCAUCAAAAUUCAUCCCUUAAUUCAAAAUUCAUUCUAGAACAAAGCUUCAUCAAAAUUCAAACAUGAGGAGAUUUGCAGUGAUGGAGAGGAGCAGAGAUUUACGAAGAGAGAGAGAAAGAGAGAGAGAGAGAGAGAUGCGAUGCAAUUUUCAGAGAGGGAAGAGUGGGAAUAGGGCAGCGGUACCCCAGCGAAACCAGCGGCGGAGGCAUCGGACCUUCGCGGUCCAAGGUGGCGGUGGCAGAACAGAUCGAGAGAGAGAGAAGAUCUGCGAUGAGAGAGAGAGAGAUCGGACCUUCGUUGGUACAAGGCGGCGUCCCCGCGGGUGAAGAGACGCGACACGGCUGCGCGCUCCUCUGUUCACGGCGCUCCAAUUUGGAAGGAUUGGAGGCGAGAGAGAGAGAGAAAGGAAGAGGGGGAGAGAGGGAGGCUCUGUAUCAAAAAAAGAGAAGAGAGAGAGAGAGAAAAGAGGAGAGAGAGAGAGAG